GUCGAACGAAACUUCUUUAUCACCGAGUGCUUGCACUCACCGAUAAAGAGUUGAGUGGCGAACGGGUGAGUAACACGUGGGCAACCUGCCCAAAAGAGGGGGAUAACACUUGGAAACAGGUGCUAAUACCGCAUAACCAUAGUUACCGCAUGGUAACUAUGUAAAAGGUGGCUAUGCUACCGCUUUUGGAUGGGCCCGCGGCGCAUUAGCUAGUUGGUGGGGUAAAGGCUUACCAAGGCAAUGAUGCGUAGCCGAACUGAGAGGUUGAUCGGCCACAUUGGGACUGAGACACGGCCCAAACUCCUACGGGAGGCAGCAGUAGGGAAUCUUCCACAAUGGGCGAAAGCCUGAUGGAGCAACGCCGCGUGGGUGAAGAAGGUCUUCGGAUCGUAAAACCCUGUUGUUAGAGAAGAAAGUGCGUGAGAGUAACUGUUCACGUUUCGACGGUAUCUAACCAGAAAGCCACGGCUAACUACGUGCCAGCAGCCGCGGUAAUACGUAGGUGGCAAGCGUUAUCCGGAUUUAUUGGGCGUAAAGGGAACGCAGGCGGUCUUUUAAGUCUGAUGUGAAAGCCUUCGGCUUAACCGGAGUAGUGCAUUGGAAACUGGGAGACUUGAGUGCAGAAGAGGAGAGUGGAACUCCAUGUGUAGCGGUGAAAUGCGUAGAUAUAUGGAAGAACACCAGUGGCGAAAGCGGCUCUCUGGUCUGUAACUGACGCUGAGGUUCGAAAGCGUGNGUAGCAAACAGGAUUAGAUACCCUGGNAGUCCACGCCGUAAACGAUGAUUACUAGGUGUCGGGGG
rnacentral:rRNA from 1 species